GGCAGACACACAGGCGGCUGGAUGUCAAGAGGAGCACAACAGAGGAGGAACACAGAGGUGGCUAGACACAGAGAGUAACACACUGACGGCUGGACAUACGGAGUAAAACACCGACAGGCACGGGCACCCUGGCAGGCCACCGACCAUUAGAAAUAGAAUGACAUGGAGUUUAGCUGGGGCAGUCAGAGGAGAGCCCAGGCUGCUGAACGGCUCGACUCUAGGGGAAACCCUUCCCACUCCACCCCUUCUGACUUUCCGAGAGCUGCUUCCACCCAAUAAAACCUUGCAAUCAUUCUCCAAGCCCAGGUGUGAUCAGAUUCUUUCGGUACAUCAAGGAUCUCUCCCUGUGGUGCCUAGGUUGGUUUAAAACUCUUGGCCUCAAGCGAUCCUCCCACCUUGAAUUCCCAAAGCAAGGUGCUAUUAGUAAUUGGCUCAGAGAACUCGCCAUUAGGGGCAGUGCAUCACUUAACAAUGGCUGGGCGUGAAAGAGAGCCCUGCUCUACUGACCCUUCAAUGUGCCCGUGUGCCUAAAUAUUCCUGGUCGUGUGAAAAGAACCCAGGUAUUAGCUGAACUAAGGAGCACAAUUCUGCAACAUUUUGGCACCCAAACACGGGGCUUGAGAAAUGAAUGCAAUUGGAGAAACUGGUUGUUUUACCAGGCGUUGAUUGGAAAUGUGUGCUUCCCUUUAAGCAGUCAAGCUCAACUUGCAGAACUGAUGGGAACCCCUUGGGAAAACUGGCCUCAAAUGUUUGUCUACACAGUCCACAUACAGGGUUCUUAACCUGCGACUGACCCUGCUUGUGCCUGUGAACCAACCAACAAUCUCUGGCUGCAGCUCAGAAAGGACAAAAGAGAAUGGAUGAGGGAAACUUCCCAGGGCUUGUCUGGGUAUGCCCACAGUGGACUGGAGCCCAAAAUGCACACUGGAGGAAGUGGAUGGAGCCACGUGGAUGUCAUGCCUUAUGCAGGGGAGGAGCCUGCUCUCUUCAGCUCCUGUGGUAAUGUGGGAAUCGAUCUGUGAGGAAACACUUUCUGAAAAUGUCAGAACUCUUGAAAACAUGGAUGAGGAAAAGCAUAAGUACUGCUUUAUGCUUUUCUUAUGAAUUUUAAAAGAUGUAAUUUAAAGGUACUUUAAAGUGAUAUUUGUGCCCUUGUAACUGAUUCAAAGUAGACUGCUAAGGACAAUAAGUAAUAAGAGUCUACAAAUAUCAGUAAAUUAUGAGAAAAAACGGUCUAAUGGUACUUAAAAUUGCAUUGUGAUUUAUUAAAUAACAUUGAACAGCUCCACCUGUAACAUUAAGAUUCCAUUUGAGCAUAUAGAAAAUAUAUUUAUCGCAACCUGAAGUGAUUUGGAAAGUAUGCUGGGAAGAAAAUAUAUUUACAAAUUAGUCUCAGAGGGUAGGUAUCCUGUAGCCAGAUGGAAUAAGAAGAGAGGGAAGGGAGAUUUUGUUCAAAGGGGGAGCAUAAGCUAAGGAAUAAAGCCACAAACAAUGAUUAAAUUAGGUAAAGUGCAAUUAGCUGAAUAUUGCAUAAGCAUACAUAUGGGAAGAAGUGGAAAAAGGAGUGACAAUAUGAAGCUAAAGGGUUUGAAGUGUUCAAGAUAAUACUAGGCUUCCUAGCCUAUUCCGAGACAUCUUGUUUUAGAGUGCAAUAGAUAAGAACUCUAAGGAUGAAAGUAGGAGACAUGCAUUCUAGUCUACGUUUUGGUUAAUGGACUGAAAGUGAAAGAUGGACUGAAAUUGGGGGAUGGAAUAAAAAUGUGAUAGAAUAGAAAA
ensembl:lncRNA PURPL p53 upregulated regulator of p53 levels